GUGCAGCAGGCGCGAAAACUUCACAAUGUGCGAAAGCACGAUGAGGGAAUCCCAAGUGCUUGCACGUAAGUGUAAGCUGUUUCUCUGUCUAAAACGCAGAGAGAGUAAGGGCUGGGUAAGACGGGUGCCAGCCGCCGCGGUAAUACCUGCAGCUCGAGUGGUGACCGUUAUUAUUGGGCCUAAAACGUCCGUAGCCGGUUUAAUAAAUGCCUGGGUAAAUCGGACCGCUUAACGGUUCGAAUUCCGGGUAGACUGUUAAACUUGAGACCGGGAGAAGUUAGAGGUACUCCUGGGGUAGAGGUGAAAUUCUGUAAUCCUAGGGGGACCACCAGUGGCGAAGGCGUCUAACUAGAACGGGUCUGACGGUGAGGGACGAAGCCCUGGGGCGC
rnacentral:rRNA from 1 species